GCACACGUUUCGUUGAAGAUGCAGCCCUCCUCCUUGUUUGCACUCUUGAAAGUAGUGCUGAGUCUUUUUCUAGUCAGGAUGGUUUACUCCGAGUGGAUGACCUUUGAUAACGAGACCGUAUUUAUAAAUUGUAAUCGAACAAACGGGAGCUGCGUAUACCCACAAGCGUGCGGGUGUCCAAUGCCGAAGAAUCAAACAUACGGAUAUACACUCUUUACUUUCAAUAAUGCUACACAACAAUGUGUUAAAACCACAGCAAUGAACGACAGCUGUAACAGCUUUCAUAACUCAGGCGUUUGUGACUUCUUCUGCGGCAAUGGGACAGAAUACCCAGAUUAUGACUAAACAGCAGACGACAGUGCAGUGACGG